AAAAUUCAGAGAUCAAAUGUUGUUUAAUAUUGGUAAAAGAAAAUUAGAAUUUAAAGUUUCGGAUGGAUGAUGAGACUAUAAGUAUGCGAAUCAAUCGUUUCUUUACAGGAUUAAAAAUAAUUAAAAAAAGUCAUAAAAAUGGAAACAUUCAUUUUAAAAAUUUAAACUAAUUUAAAUGAUAUUAUAAACAAUUGUAAUAGCCCAUUUUUGUCCGGGCCCGUAAUAAAUAAAUCAAAUUAAAAAUUAAAGUCCAAAAAAUAAUAAUACAAUCCAAUUUUUUUACAUUAGCAAGCCUAAACCCAAGUAGGCCCAAUUCCCCCCAAGCCCAAUCACGAAGUGGUCCAACGUAAAAUUGGAAGCUGAAACCCUAGCAGCUUCCAGCGCCGCUCCUCCCACGCGUGCCUGCCUCCUCACGCACGUAGCGCCACCACGAGCCUCCAGCUGGCCUCCGUACGGCCGUACCUGCAGCAGACACAAGCAAACAAGCAGCAGAGAAAACAAAAAGGAAAAGAAGGGAUUUUUUUUCUUUUAUUUUUGUUUACAUUUUUUCUUUCUUCGGCCUAUAAAAACGAAAGGCGGAAAUUUUGUAAGGGGUUACGCAUUCAGAAUACAGAAAUCAAUACAAAAAAUUGAAAAGAAGGUUUUUUUUCUCCUUCUCUUUUUCAUUCCGUUCUUUUCUCGAUUCAUAUUUCUUUCUUUUCCUUUUUGUCGGCUAUACAUAUAUAAGGAUAGAUAUAAAAUAAAAAGCUAAAAUUACCUUUUAACAGCGCCGAUGAAGCCUUCUUCUUCUCUGGGCUAAUCGGAGUUGAAUCGACAGAGGCCUGGGAUUUGAAACGGCGAAGCUUUUGGGGGGGCAAAUGUUUAAGUUUUUUUCUUAUUCUUUUUGUUUAAGGCUGAUAGCUGCUGGUUAGGGUUUCAAGGUUGAUAUUUAUAGUGUAAAAAAUGACGUCGUUUAGGGCCUGCUUUAGUGGCCUUAAAACGGCGCCGUAUUGGCCACAUAACCCGCGUGUGUGACCCGACCCGAGGAAGGAUCCGCGCGUUUUGCGACCAUUGGGAGAUUUGCGCAAAUGGUCCCCUCUCUUUUGUGCCGGAUUCGAAUCGGUUCUUUUCCUUUUUUAAAUUUUGCCCUUUAAUUUGCUUUUUAUUUUAUUUUUGACCAACGCAAAAGCGUCGCGUUUUGAGGGUUGGGAUUAUUUCCCUUUUAGUCCCUCGUGUCAUUCGCGCGUUGUAAUCUGGUCCGCGUUAUUUAUUUUAAUUUUGUUUGUGGCUCUUUAAUUUUAUUUUAAUCACAUUUUGACCCCGCAUUUUAUUUUUAAUUUCUUUUGUUUCCUGUAAAUUCGAUUCUAAUUAUGGUUGAAUCCUUU
rnacentral:lncRNA from 1 species